rnacentral:rRNA from 1 species
GACGAACGCUGGCGGCGUGCUUAACACAUGCAAGUCGAACGGAAAGGCCCUGCUUUUGUGGGGUGCUCGAGUGGCGAACGGGUGAGUAACACGUGAGUAACCUGCCCUUGACUUUGGGAUAACUUCAGGAAACUGGGGCUAAUACCGGAUAGGAGCUCCUGCUGCAUGGUGGGGGUUGGAAAGUUUCGGCGGUUGGGGAUGGACUCGCGGCUUAUCAGCUUGUUGGUGGGGUAGUGGCUUACCAAGGCUUUGACGGGUAGCCGGCCUGAGAGGGUGACCGGCCACAUGGGGACUGAGAUACGGCCCAGACUCCUACGGGAGGCAGCAGUGGGGAAUAUUGCACAAUGGGCGGAAGCCUGAUGCAGCAACGCCGCGUGCGGGAUGACGGCCUUCGGGUUGUAAACCGCUUUCGCCUGUGACGAAGCGUUAGUGACGGUAAUGGGUAAAGAAGCACCGGCUAACUACGUG